CCUACGGGAGGCUGCAGUGGGGGAUAUUGCACAAUGGGGGAAACCCUGAUGCAGCGAAGCCGCGUGGGUGAAGAAGCGCCUAGGCGCGUAAAGCCCUGUCAGCAGGGAAGAAAAUGACGGUACCUGAAGAAGAAGCCCCGGCUCACUACGUGCCAGCAGCCGCGGUAAUACGUAGGGGGCAAGCGUUAUCCGGAUUUACUGGGUGUAAAGGGGGCGUAGGCGGCGAUGCAAGCCAGGAGUGAAAGCCCGGGGCCCAACCCCGGGACUGCCGUUGGAACUGCGUGGCUGGAGUGCAGGAGGGGCAUGCGGAAUGCCUGGUGUAGCGGUGAAAUGCGUAGAUAUCAGGAGGAACACCGGUGGCGAAGGCGGCCUGCUGGACUGCAACUGACGUUGAGGCCCGAAAGCGUGGGGAGCGAACAGGAUUAGAUACCCUGGUAGUC
rnacentral:rRNA from 1 species